AUGGUUCAAUUGUACGCUGCAGAGCAAGGGGAGCCAAUCAUCACCGAAGUGCCGGUGCCUGCUGAAGUUGAGGCCCUGAUCAGCGAGUUUGGACACCUGUUUGAGGAACCUAAAGGACUACCACCACAACGCUCUUUCGAUCACACAAUUCCUCUCCUGCCCGGGGCGAAACCUGUCAACGUGCGCCCAUAUCGAUACAGCCCGGCCCAGAAGGAUGAGAUUGAGAAACAGGUUGCAGACAUGCUUGCCCAAGGUAUUAUCACGCCCAGCUCCAACCCCUUUGCUUCACCAGUGCUGCUCGUUCAGAAGAAGGAUUUGUCUUGGCGUUUCUGCGUGGACUACCGACAACUCAAUGCAGUGACAGUCAAGAACCGCUAUCCUCUGCCUGUCAUCGAUGAGCUACUGGACGAGCUGGCGGGUUCCACGCUGUUCACUAGUCUAGAUCUCCGAGCCGGAUAUCAUCAGAUUCGGAUGAAGCCUGAAGAUGAACACAAGACCGCUUUCAAGACCCACCAUGGCCACUUUGAGUUCAAGGUUUUGGCGUACGGCCUUACGGGGGGACCGGCAACUUUCCAAGGAGGAAUG
rnacentral:rRNA from 1 species